GGGGAAUUUUCCGCAAUGGGCGAAAGCCUGACGGAGCGACACCGCGUGCAGGAUGAAAGCCUUAGGGUUGUAAACUGCUGUCACGCUAUAGGAGUGGCGCGUCGUUAAUAUCUACGCGUUUGACCAAAGCGAGAGGAAGCACCGGCUAACUCCGUGCCAGCAGCCGCGGUAAGACGGAGGGUGCAAACGUUGUUCGGAAUCACUGGGCAUAAAGCGCACGCAGGCGGCCCGUUAAGUCAGGUGUGAAAGCCCACGGCUCAACCGUGGAACUGCACUUGAAACUGACAGGCUAGAGGACGGUUGGGGUGAGUGGAACUCCUGGUGGAGCGGUGAAAUGCGUAGAUAUCAGGAGGAACACCAGUGGCGAAAGCGGCUCACUGGACCGUAACUGACGCUCAGGUGCGAAAGCUAGGGUAGCGAAUGGGAUUAGAUACCCCAGUAGUC
rnacentral:rRNA from 1 species